UACGUAGGGUGCGAGCGUUAAUCGGAUUUACUGGGCGUAAAGCGUACGUAGGCGGCUUGUUAAGCAAGAUGUGAAAUCCCCGGGCUCAACCUGGGAAUGGCAUUUUGAACUGGCAGGCUCGAGUUCUGAAGAGGGUGGUAGAAUUUCCAGUGUAGCGGUGAAAUGCGUAGAUAUUGGAAGGAAUACCGGUGGCGAAGGCGGCCACCUGGUCAGAAACUGACACUGAGGCUCGAAAGCGUGGGUAGCAAACAGG
rnacentral:rRNA from 1 species